CCGAAGGAGGUCCAGAAAGGUCAGUCCGGGACCAAGAAAUGCCCGAGGAUGGGGAGGCGGAAUGGGACCUGCCCGCGUUUUCUGCUGAAGAUUCGGCCACCGCGGAAGACAUUAGCGGUCAUCCCCGUGAGGGGCCAAGGCAGCCUAUUCUUCACAAAUAUCCCCAAAAUGUUGGCUGGAAUACAGUGUGUCCAAAGAUUCCGCGUUUUGCUUUGGAUGUCGGCAUUUUUUGAAACCUGGACAAGGAUUUCAUCUGGAGCCAGCUUUCACCAGCAAAGGCUUUAACAACUGGCGAAAAGCCUCUACAUCACUUAAGAGUCAUCACGAAAGUGCAGGACAUAAAUUUGCAAUGGAGACAUGGAGCGACUUUAAGGAAACACAGAAAAGCGGCUCCAAAAUAGCAAACAUGUUAGACAAGGGUCAUUCAGCAUUGGUUUUGGAGAACCGACAAUACAUGAAGGCUGUGGUGGAAAGCCUUCGCUUUACAGCUUGACAGGGGAUCGCACAGCGAGGCCACAGUGAAGAAAAACGCACAGAGGAGAAAUGGAAAGAAAUACGCGAACAAGCGGACGGCCUGUAUGGAAAAACAGGAAUUUCUCCUCGGACUUCACGUGAGAGAAGGCCAACCCAAACAGCGCGACACCUGGAGGGGUUUGUUGUGGAUGCCCCGCUAGAAAGAGCGCGCGUGGACAGUUUGGACGACCUGAAAACACAGUCUUUCUAUUCUGUUUUAGACAGGCUGUUGAUGGAGAUGAAAAGGCGCUUCUCCACAGAGACAAAUUAUGUUCUGAUAGGCGCACCAGCCCUGAGCCCCAAACAGUCAUCUUUUCUUAACGAAGAACGCAUACUACCCAUGGCCCGUCAUUAUGGAGUCGGGGAGGAAAAUCUGCAUGCAGAACUUUAUCAAGUUUGCCGGCUACUUCAAAGGAAAGCAGAACAAGGACACUGUAUCAACACCACACAGGCGUUCUUAUCCCUCAUGAGGCCAUGCAAGGAUGCCUUUAUGGACUUAUUUAAACUCAUAUGUAUAUCUCUGACACUUCCCGUCACAUCGGUGAGUUGUGACUGUGAGCGCAGUUUUUCUUGCCUGCGUCGUCUGAAGACAUACUUGAGGAACAGCAGCGGGGACUGUCGAACCAGUAACCUGGGACUGUUGGCGAUUAACACUGACAGAACAAGGGCCCUGGACAGCGAAAACAUCAUCAAUGCCUUUGCCCUUAACCAUAAAAACAGGCGGAUCGUUUUGUUAUGAAGACAUCACAUGAUCAAUAUAAAAAUCUGGCAGCCGUCCCCUCCUCCAUCAACCACCUCAGAGACUUGCUGAGGAGCAGCUGUUGAAAAUCCUGCAUCAACUUCAAGUAUGACUUCAACUGGGAGAAACCCGCCCUUUUAUUUGAUUGACAACGGUCCAAGUACGAAAACCAGGCUCAAGAAGACUAGCCGCCCAGCCAAUUUCCCUCUGAAGCCUUCUCAUUUCUCACCUGGGCUCAGGAAAAUGACAGAGGUAAAGUAAUGCCAAAUGUUGGAAAUUGACUCUGUGGAAUGGAAUCUUAUGGCCGCGCAGUUGGACUGAAUUAUGAAGAAGACGCAGUGAGUGCAUCUUUCCAAAUACCGAUGUGUUUCAAUGUUUCACCUUUGUUAAGGUUUUGUUUGUAUUAAACAACACGUUUUGAAGUAUGACGCUUGGAGACACCCAGACCCUUGCCCUCAUUCAUAAUUCAUACAACAAUGUAAUUUUAAUGCCAAAGAAAACUUGAAUGUUGUCUUACAACAAACAUAUGUUGAAAUUGUCAGUGAAAAGUGUUCUUUUACUGUUGUUACUAUUUUUAAAGGCCAGUUUGGAUAAUAUGUUUACAGAAGCAUUAAUAUUUGAACCCAAAUAAUGCAAAUGACAUUAAAGUAAGCGUCUCAUGCUCUCAGAUUAAUUACUUAGGAAAAUCUGCAAAACACACUCAGGAGCAGUCAGUCUUUUCAAUGAAAGCUGCAUCUCUGGUAGCAGGGCUUUAUUGCAUAUUAAUGCCCAUAAAUCUGCUCAAGAGUUAUAGGAAGAAGAGGUGUCAGAGUUUCGGAUUAAGUUGAUAAGGAAUUCUAGGUGAUUGUUAUGCAUUUAUCAAUGUCAGCAAACCAGCCAUUUAGUGCUUUAAGGUAAUGCAGCACAACUUUUAUGACACAGUUUAGCCAAAAUGUAAAACAUAAACACUGAUAAGAUGGGACUAAGGUGGAGCCAAAUUAGUGAUCCCAUAGAGGUAUUCUUUUUGCUUAGAUUUCCUGCAGCCGUAGUGUUUGGUUUAAUGGAACACUUGUU